rnacentral:rRNA from 1 species
CCUACGGGGGGCAGCAGUGAGGAAUAUUGGUCAAUGGGCGCAAGCCUGAACCAGCCAAGUCGCGUGAGGGAAGACGGCCCUACGGGUUGUAAACCUCUUUUGCCGGGGAGCAAGCCUGAGCACGUGUGCCCAGGCGGAGAGUACCCGGAGAAAAAGCAUCGGCUAACUCCGUGCCAGCAGCCGCGGUAAUACGGAGGAUUCAAGCGUUAUCCGGAUUUAUUGGGUUUAAAGGGUGCGUAGGCGGUCGGAUAAGUUAGAGGUGAAAUCCCGAGGCUCAACUUCGGAAUUGCCUCUGAUACUGUUCGGCUAGAGAGUAGUUGCGGUAGGCGGAAUGUAUGGUGUAGCGGUGAAAUGCUUAGAGAUCAUACAGAACACCGAUUGCGAAGGCAGCUUACCAAGCUACUUCUGACGUUGAGGCACGAAAGCGUGGGGAGCAAACAGGAUUAGAUACCCUUGUAGUC